UAAUACCUAAACAACAGGCCUUCUCUUUGCUGACUGUGGGCCUACCAUAGGAACAACUAUCUCUGAUGUUGCUCCACCUAUUUCCUGACUUCUGUCUCAGUCUCUUCCUAUGUUUUCAAGGAGCAAGACUAGCAUCACAAGCGUGAGUUUUGGAGUCAAAGGGACAGGAUCUUAUUAUGUUGCCCAAGCUGCUCUUGAACUCCCAGGCAAGCAGUCCUCCCAACUCGGCCUCCCAAAGUGCUGGGAUUACAGGUCAGAAGUUGUCCUGUCUGAGGACAAGAGCUGCACCAGAUGACUUCUCAAGAUCCCUUUGACCCUUAUGAUUGUCUACUGGCAUAAAUAUAAUGGUUUUUUCAGUUUCCUAUUUGAACUGAAUUUCCUUAUAACCAUUUCUGAUUAGCAUAUCGAUCACAAAAGUACCACUGUAAAGGAUAGAACAUGAGUCAUUAUUUUUACUUUCUUUUGCCCCGA